rnacentral:rRNA from 1 species
AACGCGAAGAACCUUACCUACUCUUGCAUCCUAGGAAUGAUGUAGAAAUUAUAUCAGUGCCUUCGGGAGCCUAGAGACAGGUGCUGCAUGGCUGUCGUCAGCUCGUGCCGUGAGGUGUUUGGUUAAGUCCAGCAACGAGCGCAACCCUUAUCAUUAGUUGCCAACACGUAAGGUGGGGACUCUAAUGAGACUGCCUAGGUUAACUAGGAGGAAGGCGAGGAUGACGUCAAGUCCGCAUGGCCUUUAUGUCCAGGGCUACACACGUGCUACAAUGGUCGGUACAAAGGGAAGCGAAACCGCGAGGUCAAGCAAAUCUCAUAAAGCCAAUCGUAGUCCGGAUUGGAGUCUGCAACUCGACUCCAUGAAGCUGGAAUCGCUAGUAAUCGUGGAUCAGAACGCCACGGUGAAUACGUUCCCGGGCCUUGUACACACCGCUACAGU